UGGGGAAUAUUGGACAAUGGGCGAAAGCCUGAUCCAGCCAUGCCGCGUGUGUGAAGAAGGCCUUUUGGUUGUAAAGCACUUUAAGCGAGGAGGAGGCUACUUGGAUUAAUACUCUAGGAUAGUGGACGUUACUCGCAGAAUAAGCACCGGCUAACUCUGUGCCAGCAGCCGCGGUAAUACAGAGGGUGCGAGCGUUAAUCGGAUUUACUGGGCGUAAAGCGUGCGUAGGCGGCUUCUUAAGUCGUAUGUGAAAUCCCUGAGCUUAACUUAGGAAUUGCAUUCGAUACUGGGAAGCUAGAGUAUGGGAGAGGAUGGUAGAAUUCCAGGUGUAGCGGUGAAAUGCGUAGAGAUCUGGAGGAAUACCGAUGGCGAAGGCAGCCAUCUGGCCUAAUACUGACGCUGAGGUACGAAAGCAUGGGGAGCAAACAGG
rnacentral:rRNA from 1 species